UCCGAGUCUUGUGAUGCUGCGAGUGCGG
rnacentral:sRNA from 1 species